rnacentral:lncRNA from 1 species
GCUGUCUCAAUCCUAAUACUCAUUGCAGGUUUGUAAAUCUCAGACAAAUCUCUCAUGGGAGCUCUUGGGCAGCAAGAAAGGCCCCGCACCCUCAAAUCAUAUUUAUGGUGGAUAGGAAUCAGGAUGGUAAGGAUCUGAUCCAUAAGUGGGCCCCCAAAUAGAUGGGUGAUAUACUAUGCUCUCCAAUCCCUACCAUCGACAGUGAUCAGGUCCCGAACUCAAAGCUGGUUGUCCAUCUUCAUGCUGAAGAAUGUCAGCCACUGAAUAAAAGGCAAGUUGGAGAUCCAGGCAUCCUAGCUC